rnacentral:rRNA from 1 species
UGAGGAACCUGCCUUGGAGAGGGGAAUAACACUCCGAAAGGAGUGCUAAUACCGCAUGAUGCAGUUGGGUCGCAUGGCUCUGACUGCCAAAGAUUUAUCGCUCUGAGAUGGCCUCGCGUCUGAUUAGCUAGUAGGCGGGGUAACGGCCCACCUAGGCGACGAUCAGUAGCCGGACUGAGAGGUUGACCGGCCACAUUGGGACUGAGACACGGCCCAGACUCCUACGGGAGGCAGCAUG